rnacentral:rRNA from 1 species
GAUGAACGCUGGCGGCGUGCCUAAUACAUGCAAGUCGAGCGAACAGACGAGGAGCUUGCUCCUCUGACGUUAGCAGCGGACGGGUGAGUAACACGUGGAUAACCUACCUAUAAGACUGGGAUAACUUCGGGAAACCGGAGCUAAUACCGGAUAAUAUAUUGAACCGCAUGGUUCAGUAGUGAAAGACGGUUUUGCUGUCACUUAUAGAUGGAUCCGCGCCGCAUUAGCUAGUUGGUAAGGUAACGGCUUACCAAGGCGACGAUGCGUAGCCGACCUGAGAGGGUGAUCGGCCACACUGGAACUGAGACACGGUCCAGACUCCUACGGGAGGCAGCAGUAGGGAAUCUUCCGCAAUGGGCGAAAGCCUGACGGAGCAACGCCGCGUGAGUGAUGAAGGUCUUCGGAUCGUAAAACUCUGUUAUUAGGGAAGAACAAAUGUGUAAGUAACUAUGCACGUCUUGACGGUACCUAAUCAGAAAGCCACGGCUAACUACGUG